UUGGUUUUCUUCUCUUUCGUUUCUUUGUAUUUUCCGCUGUGCUAACUCGAUUUGUAGAAAGAAAGCGAAUUUGGGGUCGGCUAUUCACACCCCCCCUCUCUAGCCAAGUACGAAGGAUCCUAACAAAUUGUUGUAUUAAAAGCUGAUGCUCCAUAGUAGAUGCCUUUAUUUAUUAUUCUUCUUUCUCUUUAGUUAAUUUACUUGCACUUCGACAAGAAAUUUCAAGUAAGGGAAGAUUUAGGGAUGCAUGUGAUGGUGAAGGAACUAACGAUGUUGGAGGCUCAGGCUCUUGAUCGAACUGGGCUGGACAGUACAUUCCCAAGGACCUUACAAUUCCGCUUUAAGAAUGAAUAAACAGUGAUUAUGAUCAAGAAGGAAUAAAGUAGUAUCGACUAUAGCUGUUAUAAGAUGGUUGUCAAAGUUUACUAACUUUUCUUUCUUUCAUGGUACCUGUAAUGGAUUUGAGUGUAGGAGUAUGGUUUGUUAAUUGCAGACAAUAUUUCUUAUUUUUAUUGGAUAUGUAAAAAAAAAAAAAUUGGGUCGUUUCAGUUGGUAUCAGAGCCAAGGUCUUGUAAGGGAUGUGUACUGCCAGUUCUGGGAGGUUCACGAGCCAAGCCUCAACUCUGUAUGUCGCCAAGACGAGUCUAUCAAAGGCGUAGGGAGAAUGGUCGUGAUGGGGGAGAAACUGAGGAGGAGAGACAUGCAGCGCCCGAUCCCCCAUGCCCGCUACCAGAUGCUACUACUCGUAUACUGGAAGGAAUGGCUCGACUCUUGGAGCAACAUACCGGUAAUGCCCAUAUGGGGCGACAGGAAGAUGUGUACGUGCAGUUUAGGAGGAUGGACCCUAAGGAUUUCGUUGGCACUACCGAUCCCUUUGUAGCUAAGGGGGUGGAUCCGAUCCUUGGAGGUGAUAUUCCGAUACAUGGAUAUGGCUGAGAAAGACAGAGUCCGAUGUGCUAUAUAUCUGCUGAAGGAUGAUGCUUCUCUAUGGUGGGAGGGAGCUGAAAAGGGGGUUAAUUAGGAUACGCUGACCUGGGAGGAGUUCAAGAGGAUCUUCUAUGAAAAGUACUUCACUGAUGACGUGAGAUCGAGGUUGAAGAGGGAGUUUAUGAGUCUCCGACAGGGAGACCUGUCUGUUGCUGAGUUUGUCAAAAAGUUUGAUAGAGGAUGUCAUUUUGUGCCCUUAAUCGCAAAUGAUGCUAAAGAAAUAUUGAGGCACUUUUUGGAUGGUCUCAGGCCCAUCCGUCGGGACGUUCUGCUAGCUGAUCCAACUGAAUAUAAUGAUGUUGUCACUAGAGCUUAUAGAGCUGAGCAAUCUUUAAAGGAUAUCGAAUGGGAGGUGUAGAGGAAGAGACCCCCUCCACAGCAGCAACAACAACAGAAUAAGAAGUUAUACACCGGACCUCAGAAAGGACAGGGACGAUUGAAGCCUCAAGGGAGCACAAAGCAACAACCACAGGGAGCAGCUACCUCAAAGACAGAGGAAAAACCAUCGUGCAGGGAGUGUAAUCGCCAACACUACGGUCAAUGUCUGUGGGGUACCUACAAGUGCUUCAAAUGCGGAGGGGAUGAGCACAAAGCUAAGGAAUGUCCGAAACUGCAAGAACCGGUGACAAGACGGGUCUUUGUGAUGCAUGCCAAGGAAGCAGAGCCAGACACUAUGCUUGUCAUAGGUAACCUGACUAAUUUCAUGUACUUAUUGCCUAGCGUGUAAAUGUUAAGCAUGAGUGAUUAGAAUUGCAUGUCUCGUGAGAAGAGAUAUAGGGUACCAAACAUAAAUGGAAGUAUUCGAAACUUUUAAAAGGGGUAAUGGGUUUUCGGGAAUUGUAAGCUUAAAUGGAUAUAAUGGUAUGGUUGCUAUAGGUAGGAUAUCUAUCGCGGGUGUAACUACAUAUGCCUUGCUAGAUUUGGGAGCUACACACUCAUUUAUAUCGAAGACCUUCGAAAAUCGACUGGGGAUCUUACCGAGGGACAUGGGGAAUGGAUUCAGAGUCACCGGACCCUCCGACGAGCAGAUGUUUUCCACCAGGAUGGUAAUGGACACGGAGCUUAUACUAUAGAAGCAUGUGGUUCAGGCGGACCGCAUAGUGUUGCCAAUGCCGGAGUUCAAUAUUAUUCUGGGAAUGGAUUAGUUAUCGCAGAAUGGAGCUUCAAUCGACUUCCGACAAAGGUCAGUAUCCGUUCGACCACCCCACAACGAGUCGUUCAUUUUUGAGGCAGCCAGGAAUAGACAGAGGCCGCACCUCAUUUCUUGCAUCAGUGCGAGGAAGCUUAUGAGGAGGGGCUGCCAAGGAUUUCUAGCCAAUGUUGUUUCGAUGCCAGAUGCAGUUAACCAAAAGGUGGAGGACGUCGAAGUCGUGCGAGAAUUUCCUAGCAUAUUUCCUAAGGAUGUCUCUGGCAUUCCUCCGGAAAGGGAGGUGGAAUUUUCCAUCAAGCUGAUGUCGGGUACGGUGCCAAUCUCUAAGGCACCGUAUCGUCUCGCUUCGACAAUGUUGUUUCGAUGCCAGAUGCAGUUAACCAAAAGGUGGAGGACGUCGAAGUCGUGCGAGAAUUUCCUAGCAUAUUUCCUGAGGAUGUCUCUGGCAUUCCUCCGGAAAGGGAGGGGGAAUUUUCCAUCAAGCUGAUGUCGGGUACGGUGUGAAUCUCUAAGGCACCGUAUCGUCUCGCUUCGGCAGAAAUGAAAGAUCUAAAGGAGAAGAUUCAAGAACUACUAGAUAAAGGAUUCAUUCGCCUAAGCUUUUCGCCAUGGGGCACACCGGUACUAUUCGUGAAGAAAAAAGAUGAAAGUAUGAGGCUCUGUAUCGAUUAUCAAGAAUUGAAUAGAGUGACAGUGAAGAACAAGUAUCCUUUGCCCAGGAUCGAAGAUUUAUUUGAUCAGUUGCAAGGGCGUCGGUAUUCUCGAAGAUAGAUCUCCGAUCAGGAUAUCAUCAGCUGAGCGUAAAGGAAACUGACGUACAUAAGACAGCUUUCAGGACUCGAUAUGGACAUUAUGAGUUUAGGGUGAUGCCAUUCGGAGUGACAAAUGCCCCGACAAUCUUCAUGGAUCUCAUGAAUCACGUGUUUUAGCCAUAUCUUGAUCCGUUCAUUAUUGUAUUCAUAGAUGACAUUUUGAUUUAUUCGAGGAGCAGGGAGAAGCAUAGUCAACACUUGAGGACAACUUUGCAGAUAUUGCAAGACCGAAAACUGUUUGCAAAGUUUAGCAAGUGCGAGUUCUGGUUAGAGAAGGUGGCAUUCCUAUGUCACAUUAUCUCAAAGGAUGGGGUGAAAGUAGAUCCUACUAAAGUUGAGGCAGUCAAAGGAUGGUCAGUGCCUAAAAAUAUAAUUGAGAUACGUAGUUUCCUUGGGUUGGCGCGCUACUAUCGAAAAUUCAUCAAGGGCUUUUCUUCCAUUGCAGUGCCCUUGACUGCUCUGAUGAAGAAGAAUGCCAAGUUUACAUGGGGAGCUGAUUGUCAAGACAGUUUUGAGCGGUUGAAACAAGCACUUACCAUGGCGCCAGUUUUAUCCAUGCCAUCAGGACAGGGAGAAUAUGUGUUAUAUACGAAUGCUUCAAAGCUAGGUUUGGGAGCGGUUCCUAUGCAGCGCAAUCAAGUCAUUGCAUAUGCAUCCCGACAAUUAAAAGUGCAUGAAAAGAUUAUCCGACCCAUGAUCUCGAACUAGCAUUGGUGGUGUUUGCUCUGAAGAUUUGGAGACACUACUUGUAUGGGAAAAGUGCAAAAUCUUUACUGAUCACAAAAGCCUAAAGUAUUUCUUUACCCAGAAAGAGUUGAAUAUGAGACAGAGAAGAUGGCUAGAGCUUGUAAAGGACUACGAUUGUGAUAUUAGCUACCACCCCGGAAAAGCUAAUGUGGUUGCUGAUGCUUUGAGUAGGAAAAUGGUAGUCAUUGCACAACUAUCAAUACAGAGACCUCUGUAGAUAGAAAUUCAGGGAUUUAAUUUCGAGAUGUAUGUUAGAGGUCAGGCUCCUAGCUUAACUACUAUGUUAGAAAUUCAGGGAUUUUGACUGAUGCCCAUAAUACUCCAUAUUCUGUACAUCCAGGGAGUACGAAGAUGUACAAGAACCUGUAGUUACAUUAUUGGUGGCCAGGUAUGAAACGUGACAUUGCGCGUUUUGUUUCUGAAUGCUUAACUUGUCAACAGGUCAAAGAAGAACAUUAGAGGCCAGCAGGGAUGCUUAAACCACUUCCAAUUCCGGAGUGGAAAUAGGAGAAUAUCACCAUGGAUUUUGUUGUGGGCUUGCCAAAGACGGUGAAAGACUUUAAUGCCAUAUGGGUAAUAGUUGAUCGCCUCACUGAGUCAGCGCACUUCCUACCAGUGAAGACGACCUUCUCCGUGACUCAGUAUGCAGAGUUGUACAUUUGGGAGAUAGUCAGAUUGCAUGGGAUUCCCGUCUCCACAGUAUCAGACAGAGAUCCAAGGUUUACCUCGACUUUCUGGAAAGGUUUGCAUUCGGCUUUGGGAACUAAACUACUAUUUAAUACAACAUUUCAUCCCCAGAUAGAUGGUCAGUCGAAAAGGAUGAUACAUAUUUUGGAAGACUUAUUACGAGCGUGUGUGAUUAAUUUCCAAGGAAGUUGGGAACAGAAGCUACCACUUGUGGAGUUCACCUAUAACAACAGCUAUCAAUCAUCCAUAGGCAUGACUCCUUAUGAGGCACUUUAUGGAAGGAAAUGCAGAUCCCCUAUCCAUUGGGAUGAAGUGGGAGAAAGGGCAGAGGUGGGCCCAUAAAUCGUGAGGCAUACGGCAGACCUAGUUGCUAGAAUCCGGGACAGAAUGAAAACUGCUCAAAGUCGACAGAAGAGUUAUGUCGACAAAAGAAGAAGGGACUUAGUGUUUGCAGUUGGGGAUCACGUUUUUGUAAAAAUAGCACCGAUGAGGGGUGUUAUGAGAUUUGGCAAGAAAGGUAAACUCAGUCCGAGGUUCAUUGGGCCCUUGGAGAUCUUGGACAUGGUGGAGCAAUGGCUUACCGAGUGGCCUUGCCACAUAAUCUUGCAGGGGUGCAUAAUGUGUUCCACAUCUCGAUGUUGCGCAAGUACAUGUCGAAUCCCUCUCAUGUGUUGAAUUUCAAACCAUUACAACUUACCCCAAAUUUGUCCUAUGAGGAGAGACCCAUACAGAUACUGGACCAGCAAGAGAGGAAGCUGCGGAGUAGGAUGGUCAAGAUGGUCAAGGUUAAGUGGCUGAAUCAUGCUGACGAGGAAGCCACCUGGGAGACGAAAGCUGACAUGAGGGACCGCUACCCGAGGUUGAUUGGUAAGUUUUAAAUUUCGAGGAUGAAAUUCGUCUAGGGGGGGAGGAUUUGUAAGGUCCGAUUUUUCUUUUUUUAAACAAAAAAAAGGGGGGGAAUUCAAGGGGGGGAUGUUAAUAAACUUUUCUUGGGAAAA